GGCAGUCCAGCCGCAGGGGCCACCCGAACAGUCUCUCCUCCUCACAGAAGCCUGGAGCUGGGCAUCCAAGAAGAAGCAGCCUCAUUUGUUUUCUGGUGUCAUCGUAGGUGGCCACCUAUGGCUUUUGGGCUUCUCACCUGGGGCGGGUGGGUUCUGCACCACCCUCCCACCCUCCUUCCUCCGUGUGGACGAUAGAGCCACAUCCAGCACCACGGACAGCUCCCGGGCGAUCCCAUGGGAGUAGAAGAGGUGUGAGCAGGUUGCCCAGCUGGUUAGCGGAAAUGCCAAGAUCCAGGCUCCUGAAUUUCAGCCUGGCCCUUUCUAUCUGUCUGAUACCUCCUUUACGAGUCUCUCUGCCUGCGUUGUGUGGAGCGGGCCUGCUGCUGGUUGGGGGAGUUUGCAGGUUGCCCCUAUGCAAAAAAGGACAGGAUGCAUGACUGGCAUGUAAGGUGUUCAGGAAAACCAGGAAAAGCACUGGAAGCUGAGGGUUUUGACAGCGGCAGGCCACAUAGGCAAGGAAGCUGGUGCAUGCAGUGUCUCUGGGCAAGGUUAUGCAACCUUCAUCUCCUCGUCCUCCAGGCAGCACAAGCCAUUGUGGAAUCUCCACCAGGUGUACAGAACGGUGCCUCUGCGUCCUGCCACUCAGGACCUCUCAAGUCCCCGAUGUGAUGGCUCCUCAGCAUGAUCAGGAACCAAAAAGAAGAAUGUACUUCAUCUGGUUGGGCUGGAUUCCCUCUGAUAAGCCUUCCCAGUUGACUGAAAGAUGAGGCUAGGCUCUAGCAAGUUGAAGUCAAACCAGCUCCUUCAAGAAGCUUUGAGCAGAAUGAAGUGGGGAGGACCCAGCUUCCAGCCCAGGAAGCCCACUGUACCUGGAGCCAUCUGGGAUAAGACUUUGACCCAUGACUCCCAUAUCCACAGCCUGUCCAUCCUAGCCCAUCCCAGUUUAUCCUGUAUCAUUUGAGCUGGGAUUCCCACAUCCUCUGAGUUGGAAGUCCCAUCUCAAGUCUUCAAUAAAGACUCUUGAAUAUUGAAUCACA
rnacentral:lncRNA from 1 species